UGUCAUAAUGUUUUUGCUCUAUUAGCUC
rnacentral:piRNA from 1 species